GCGUGACCAACCUGCCCCAUGCUCCAGAAUAGCUCUUGGAAACGGGUGGUAAUGCUGGAUGCUCCAACUUGACGCAUGUCUUGUUGGGAAAGUGUUUAGUGGCAUGGGAUGGGGUCGCGUCCUAUCAGCUUGUAGGCGGGGUAAUGGCCCACCUAGGCUUCGACGGGUAGCCGGCCUGAGAGGGCGGACGGCCACAUUGGGACUGAGAUACGGCCCAGACUCCUACGGGAGGCAGCAGCC
rnacentral:rRNA from 1 species